rnacentral:rRNA from 1 species
CCCUUAGAUGUCCGGGGCCGCACGCGCGCUACACUGAAGGAAUCAGCGUGGCUGUCUCCCUGACCCGAAAGGGUUGGGAAACCCGUUGAAUCUCCUUCGUGAUAGGGAUUGGGGCUUGAAAUUGUUCCCCAUGAACGAGGAAUUCCCAGUAAGCGCGAGUCAUAAGCUCGCGUUGAUUACGUCCCUGCCCUUUGUACACACCGCCCGUCGCUACUACCGAUUGAACGGUUUAGUGAGGGCCUCGGAUUGGUCUCGGCCCGCUCUUUACCGGGCGGCGCCGUUGGUCGAGAAGACGCUCGAACUUGAUCGUUUAGAGGAAGUAAAAGUCGUAACA